GAUGAACGCUGGCGGCGUGCCUAAUACAUGCAAGUCGAGCGAACAGAUGAGGAGCUUGCUCCUCUGACGUUAGCGGCGGACGGGUGAGUAACACGUGGAUAACCUACCUAUAAGACUGGGAUAACUACGGGAAACCGGAGCUAAUACCGGAUAAUAUAUUGAACCGCAUGGUUCAAUAGUGAAAGACGGUUUUGCUGUCACUUAUAGAUGGAUCCGCGCCGCAUUAGCUAGUUGGUAAGGUAACGGCUUACCAAGGCAACGAUGCGUAGCCGACCUGAGAGGGUGAUCGGCCACACUGGAACUGAGACACGGUCCAGACUCCUACGGGAGGCAGCAGUAGGGAAUCUUCCGCAAUGGGCGAAAGCCUGACGGAGCAACGCCGCGUGAGUGAUGAAGAUCUUCGGAUCGUAAAACUCUGUUAUUAGGGAAGAACAAAUGUGUAAGUAACUAUGCACGUCUUGACGGUACCUAAUCAGAAAGCCACGGCUAACUACGUG
rnacentral:rRNA from 1 species